UACGGGGGGAGCAAGCGUUGUUCGGAUUUACUGGGCGUAAAGGGCGUGUAGGCGGUCAGCACAAGUCAGUUGUGAAAUCUCCGGGCUUAACUCGGAAAGGUCAACUGAUACUGUGCGACUAGAGUGCAGAAGGGGCAACUGGAAUUCUCGGUGUAGCGGUGAAAUUCGUAGAUAUUGGGAAGAACACCGGUGGCGAAGGCGGCGACCUGGUCCGAUACUGACGCUGAGGCGCGAAAGCGUGGGGAGCAAACAGG
rnacentral:rRNA from 1 species